rnacentral:lncRNA from 1 species
CUUCGAUAUAACCUCAAUUUACUCAAUUUUCUUUGUAAUAUAUAUACUAGUAGUAAUAUGAAUAUCGUUUUUGGGGGCCUUUAUAGUUUGUUGUUCAGUGUGAGCCAAUGCUCCGUGUUGAAGACCGUACUUUAGCCUAUGAUGGUUUACUUUUACGAAUAGUGACUUAGAUGGAGAGUUUUCUUAUUGGCACUCAUACCACAUCUUCUUAUAUUAUUCUGCGCAUUAUUAGUCAAUGAUAUGAUCUAAUUAUUCAAGCAUUUUACUUUGCAAUGACUACAAAGGUGAUAAAUUUUAAUAUAUACAGCC